AUGGAGACAUUUAAUCUCCAUGAUGAUUCUAUUUUUGUGGAAUUAUUCAUGUUUUCUAUUUUCUACUGAUUUGUUCAAGAAUUAUAAUUAUAGGCAUUUUCUGUCGGGAUUAUGGCGAGGAAAAAAUCCAGUCUAAGAUAUCUACUUUUCCUUGAAUUUGACCGAGUCAGAGGUGGGCCGCGAUCAAGAUGGACUUGAAGAAUAUACAUGGAAGAAAUACGUGAAUCGGCCUGUUAUGCAAAGUUUGGGCUAGUUUGCCCGUGUAUCUGUAACAUAGUAGAUCGCAUCUUAGAUUGAAAGAUAGAGUUUAACCCGUGCACGGUUAGGUGCACGCCUAAAUUAGAAAGUCCCCCGGACUAUAAAUAUGUACCUAGGGUUUAUGAAAUAAACAACAAUCAUCGUUCACCACAAA